AGAAAUGAACUGGAUACUGCCCAGGAUGUAGAUAACAUCGGACAGAUAACUAAACUGGUAAUCAGGAAUACAAGAAAACUGCCAGAAGAUGGACAUAAACCAUGAUCUAACAGAUUGUACCUUUUUUUAUUUUAUGUGAUGUUCGUAUAUUUGUCUGUGUUACAUAUUUUUUAUUUAUGUAUAUUUAUGUAGAAUUACGUAUCAAUUAAACGUAGUAUACUAUUUCAGCUGCAUCUGAUGAAAUGUUCAUGUCCUCAGUAUUUAUCAACAAUUACAAGAUGUUUGAGAUGAAGCACACAACUCUUCGAGAACUGUUUGCUACGAGGAAACUUUCCAUUCAAGAGAGUAUUCGUCUGGUCUCACAACUUGCAGCUGGAAUAGCAUACUUACAUCAUCGUUAUUUGACAUUUUGCCAACCAGUUUCUUUGGAUACUUUAGUUGUCGUCAUGGAUGGAAAGACCAUCGAACGAAUAAAGGUGAUUUCUAAAAUAAAGAAUAUUAGAAAUGAACUGGAUACUACCCAGGAUGUAGAUAACAUCGGACAGAUAACUAAAGUGGUAAUCAGGAAUACAAGAAAACUGCCAGAAGAUGGACAUAAACCAUGAUCUAACAGAGUGUACAUUUUUUGAUAUUAUGUGUUGUUCGUAUAUUUGUUUGUGUAACAUCUUUUUUAUUUAUGCAUAUGUAUGUAAAGUUACGGAUAGAUUAAACGUAGUAUACUUUUUCAGCUGCAUCUGAUGAAAUGUUCAUGUCCUCAGUAUUUAUCAACAAUUACAAGAUGCUUCAGAUGAAGCACACAACUCUUCGAGAACUGUUUGCAACGAGGAAACUUACCAUUCGGGCGAGUAUUCGUCUGGUCUCACAACUUGCAGCUGGAAAAGCAUACUUACAUAAUCGUUAUUUGACACUUUGGCAACCAGUUCCUUUGGAUACUUUAGUUGUCGUCAUGGAUGGAAAGACCAUUGAACGAAUAAAGGUGAUUUCUGAAAUAAAGAAUAUUAGAAAUGAACUGGAUAGAUGUAGAUAACAUCGGACAGAUAACUAAACUGGUAAUCAGGAAUACAAGAAAACUGCCAGAAGAUGGACAUAAACCAUGAUCUAACAGAUUGUACAUUUUUUUAUUGUAUGUGAUGUUCGUUUAUUUGUUUGUGUAACAUCUUUUAAAUUUAUGUAAAUGAUAAUAAAAAUUGAUCCAACCAAAUACACUGAUCAUGCAAACACUGAAAACAAUAAAAUAAACACAGCAGGAAUUUAACCUAAGACUACAAAUAAAAAACGUUCUCUUUUUAUUAUAGUUUUUACUCUAUUUUCUCAGUUCACUGAACAUAGAAAAAGAUUUUACAGAUGGGACACCCGUUUACUGGUUUACGUAAGUUCAUUUUUCCCCUUUGUUUCUGUUAAGAUGAUUUACUUGAUCAUCUGGUUUUGACACGAGAAAGAAUACUUUUGAAGAUAUCAACAUAGUACAUACAUAAGUGUCGUCCCUGUUAUUUAUCUUAACCUUAUGAUAAUUGUGCUGAUGUAAACCCGUUAUACACUGCUGGCAAAGCAUUUAAGAGUACUUAUAAUGUUGUAUUUUUAUUAAUAUUAUUUGCAUAUGUCUAUUAUAAUAUAUCUGUCACAUUGAAUGUUGUAUAAUAUCUCAUGUUUGUUGAUUAUAUUGUCAUAUCUAAUUAUAAAUGUUUAUUGUAAAUUACCA